rnacentral:tRNA from 1 species
GGGCAGAAUCUAACAAUUUAGAAUUAUUAUCAUUUACUACAAAAGCUCGAAUAAUUGCUAAU